UCAGGCCUAACACAUGCAAGUCGAGCGGGGUUUUCGGACCUAGCGGCGGACGGGUGAGUAAUGCGUAGGAAGCUACCCGAUAGAGGGGGAUACCAGUUGGGAACGACUGUUAAUACCGCAUAAUGUCUUCGGACCAAAGUGUGGGACCUUCGGGCCACAUGCUAUCGGAUGCGCCUACGUGGGAUUAGCUAGUUGGUGAGGUAAUGGCUCACCAAGGCGACGAUCCCUAGCUGGUUUGAGAGGAUGAUCAGCCACACUGGAGGUGAGACACGGUCCAGACUCCUACGGGAGGCAGCAGUGGGGAAUAUUG
rnacentral:rRNA from 1 species